AGUCAGGGGUCUCCGCACCCCAAGGUCAACCCAAACCUAAAGACCCAUCACUAAUGUCAAGGUCAAGGUCAAUUUCAAGGUCAUCAGACCCAAUAACAAGGUCAAAGGUCAAGACUGGCUCAGGGACCUGUGGCAGAUCCACCUUGCUGCUGGUGUUUCUCCUGCUGCUUCUCUGUGCGAUAUUGAUCGGAGUAAUAUUAUUCCACAGUCUUCUAAAAAAGAUGAGACACCAUCAAACAAGACAAGAGCGACUGGAAAUUCAACUGAGAAGACAACAAAAUGACACACAGAUGGAAAUUGAACAAUUGCAGGCAAACCUCUCAGAUGCACAGAGGGCAAAAGCAGAACUGGAGAUGAAAAUUCAUGAGUUGCAAACAAAGUUAUCGG